UAUAACAAACCACGAAGUUCAAAAACCGAUACUCCAUCUUAAAAUCUUUAGAUAAUACCAUAAUUCCAUUUGAUUCAGUUCCCGGCAUGCAAAUCGCAUUCACAACACGCGCCCAAUCCCGAAACGAAUCAAAUCCGGCCUGUAAGUACUCAAUUCCAUCGGCACGAGCUUCCAUCCCCAGCACAGAAGCUAUCGUAUC
rnacentral:lncRNA from 1 species